rnacentral:rRNA from 1 species
AGUGAACGCUGGCGGUAGGCCUAACACAUGCAAGUCGAACGGCAGCACAGUAAGAGCUUGCUCUUACGGGUGGCGAGUGGCGGACGGGUGAGGAAUACAUCGGAAUCUACUUUUUCGUGGGGGAUAACGUAGGGAAACUUACGCUAAUACCUCAUACGACCUACGGGUGAAAGCAGGGGAUCUUCGGACCUUGCGCGAUUGAAUGAGCCGAUGUCGGAUUAGCUAGUUGGCGGGGUAAAGGCCCACCAAGGCGACGAUCCGUAGCUGGUCUGAGAGGAUGAUCAGCCACACUGGAACUGAGACACGGUCCAGACUCCUACGGGAGGCAGCAGUGGGGAAUAUUGGACAAUGGGCGCAAGCCUGAUCCAGCCAUACCGCGUGGGUGAAGAAGGCCUUCGGGUUGUAAAGCCCUAUUGUUGGGAAAGAAAAGCAGCAGGUUAAUACCCCGCUGUUCUGACGGUACCCAAAGAAUAAGCACCGGCUAACUUCGUG